UACAGAGGUCCCAAGCGUUGUUCGGAUUCACUGGGCGUAAAGGGUGCGUAGGUGGUGGAGGUAAGUCGGAUGUGAAAGCUCCGAGCUCAACUCGGAAUGGCAUUGGAAACUACCUGCUCGAGGGUUGAGGGGGACUGGAAUACUUGGUGGUAGCAGGUGGAAAUGCGUAGGAUAAUCAAGUAGAACACAGUGGCGAAAGGCGAGUCCCUGGAAACUCCUGACACUGAGGCACGAAGCUAGG
rnacentral:rRNA from 1 species